rnacentral:rRNA from 1 species
AGUGAACGCUGGCGGUAGGCCUAACACAUGCAAGUCGAACGGCAGCACAGUAAGAGCUUGCUCUUACGGGUGGCGAGUGGCGGACGGGUGAGGAAUACAUCGGAAUCUACUUUUUCGUGGGGGAUAACGUAGGGAAACUUACGCUAAUACCGCAUACGACCUACGGGUGAAAGCAGGGGAUCUUCGGACCUUGCGCGAUUGAAUGAGCCGAUGUCGGAUUAGCUAGUUGGCGGGGUAAAGGCCCACCAAGGCGACGAUCCGUAGCUGGUCUGAGAGGAUGAUCAGCCACACUGGAACUGAGACACGGUCCAGACUCCUACGGGAGGCAGCAGUGGGGAAUAUGGGACAAUGGGCGCAAGCCUGAUCCAGCCAUACCGCGUGGGUGAAGAAGGCCUUCGGGUUGUAAAGCCCUUUUGUUGGGAAAGAAAAGCAGCAGGUUAAUACCCCGCUGUUCUGACGGUACCCAAAGAAUAAGCACCGGCGAACUGCGU